rnacentral:rRNA from 1 species
CAGGCUGCAACUCGCCUGCAUGAAGUCGGAAUUGCUAGUAAUCGUAGGUCAGCAUACUACGGUGAAUACGUUCCCGGGCCUUGUACACACCGCCCGUCAAACCAUGAGAGUCGGCAACACCCGAAGUCGGUAGUCUAACCGCAAGGAGGACGCCGCCGAAGGUGGGGUUGAUGAUUAGGGUUAAGUCGUAACAAGGUAUC